rnacentral:rRNA from 1 species
GACGUAGGGUGCGAGCGUUGUCCGGAUUUAUUGGGCGUAAAGAGCUCGUAGGCGGCUUGUCGCGUCGACUGUGAAAACCCGCAGCUCAACUGCGGGCCUGCAGGCGAUACGGGCAGGCUAGAGUUCGGUAGGGGAGACUGGAAUUUACGGUGUAGCAGUGAAAUGCGUAGAGAUCGUAAGGAAGACCAGUGGCGAAGGCGAGUUUCUGGACGGGUACUGACGCUGAGGCACGAAGGCCAGGGGAGCAAACGGG